UCAGCCGAAAGAAGUUUUUUGUGAAAUUAAAAUUGAUUAAAUCUUCUUUAAGAUCAACAAUGUCUAAAGAGAGAUUGAAUGAAUUAGCUAUAUCAUCAUUUGAAAAGAAAUUAUUAAACCAAAUUGAUUAUAAUACAGUAUCUAAUGACUUCACAUCUAAAAUAGCUAGAAAAGUAGAUAUUAAAUAAAAGUAUAGAUGAUGAAAAAAAAUUAGGGCUCCUCUCUUAAGUUUUGCUUUAGGCCCCCAAUGUUGUUGAGUCGUCCCUGCUUAUUAGCCUGUCAUGAGAGCAAUUUCAGCAUAAAUUUUUUUUUCCAGAUACUUCAAAUCUGCACCUGAUAUACCAUUAAAAGUACCCGCUAGUUCUGAUUUGAGUUUUAACUUGAUGGAAUUUUUCAGGUAGAUCUGAAAGGGAAAGGAGAGGGUUGGGAAUCCGUGGAGAGAGAAGGAAGAUAAUGUUGACUAUGGUUAAAUGGUUGGUUUUAGCAAAUAAUCUGAACCGUCUAUUAAUUUGAGGGACACGUGUAGCAAAAAUUAACCCCCAACUGGAGGAACUGCUCCAAUGGAGGGGAGCCAAAUCCGACCUUCGACUCAAAAAUAUAAAUUUUCUUAAAGAGUAGAAACUUACCUCCCCCAUCUUUAAACAAUGCUGAUUUUCGAAUGAAUGUUUUCAAACUUUUUUGCACUUCAAAACUAUAGUCUGUGUUUGUAAUUGUCUCACUGCUUGUAGUGGGGAAAAACA
rnacentral:lncRNA from 1 species